rnacentral:lncRNA from 1 species
AUUCUUAGUCUAUCAUUAAUAUUUUCUUGGUGGAACAUUUACUCAAAGCUGACAUUCUUCAGAGGUAUGUUAUCCAGUUUUGCUCAGUUCUGACUGGCUGUCCUACACUAAAACUUAUUUAUUAUUGCUUUCCUGAUAUAUGGGUCCUUCCCAUUAUCAGCUUGGAUGGGAUGGGAAAAACACUGAAAAGGAAUCUAACAGUGCAUUACAGUGAUCAAUGUGUGUGACUGGUGAACACAGUGUUGGCUCCAGCUGGAUCUUUGUUGUGUGAGAUUACCUUGGUGAUUGAUGGAUGAUUAAUCUGGAAAGCUGACCACUGGUUCCUUGUUGUUUGAGCUGCUGCCAUUGGGAAUGCUCAGCCUGGGGGAGAAACAGAAGAGUAAACGCUCUGAGAUCAGGGAGAGAGAGUCGCUGAAUAAGUAGUGUGUUGGUGCGAAGGAAUAACUAUGUGUUAAAAAGAGAUUUCAGAGAUUUUCAGCUUUUGGAAAGCUACAACAUCCCUCCUCCAACAGCGAGGUGACCAGAGGAACAUCACAGCCAGCCUAAUACCAGAGAGGAUCCAUCUUUAGGGUUUGGUGAUAUGGAUGACCGGGCCAAAGACGACCCAUGGAGAGUGUAUGAGGAGGAAAUCCCCAGCAGAACCAUUCGGUACGCUGACAGGAGUGCUGGUCUCCAGGACUCAUUGCAGCUUCAGCACCUGCAUCUCCUUAAGGACUUUUUCUCCAGACAGCGAACUCUAAACGUCCGCUCUCAAAGGAGAGUCAGGGACUCUAAAACUGGCUCUUCAGACCUGGAGCAGCUCAGAACAGCUCUGACUGCUGAGGUGGGGGAAGAGUCCUGGAACAGUUCAUUAGAGGAGCUGGUUAAUGAGCUGGACCUCUCCUGUGAAGGUGGUGAUGGGUGGGAGAAGCUUUGCACCUACGUUCUACAGAAAAGCGCCCAUAAUGAAGACUUAUCCGAGCCUAAACAAAGCAUCAUCAGCUCUGAUCCACUGAUACGCCACUGCCGACACGUCAAGGUAAGUGAGGCCAACCCAGGCAUCUCACUUCUCCAGGACCCUUCAUGUUUCUGUUACUGCAUCAUUCAGGGUCAUCAGUAUAAUGAUGUUCUCAAUGAUCUCACCAGCGGGAACCAGUAACUCGUAUAGUGGAAGUGAGUCAGCCACCGCCCCUGCGUUACAUCACCAUCAGCAAAGGGGGGACACUCACUGUGUGGAACAGCAGCAGUCUUCAGGCCAUCAGGUCUCUGGAGGUAAGAAGAAAAAAUAUGAAUGAAUACAUACAUAAAUGUAGAUAACACCAUUAUAUCAUUGCCAUUCCACCACAAUUAUAUAUCUUCCUCAUCCGCCUCUUUUCGAACUGCUGCUGAUGUAGCAUUACAGAGUAGCAUCACAGCGACUUGGUUCUGAUACAUCAGCUCACAGAUGCCUUGUGCUGAUCGACAUCACCCUAGGAAUGAUGAGGGUAAAGAGCGCCAUCUACUGUACCCACCCAGAGAGAGCAAGAACAAUUAUGCUCUCUCAGGGCUCCGGCAGCC